CCAUCCGUCGAAGGGCGGUAUGGAGCCUCGUGUCACCUGUGUUGGGUGGUGGGGUGCUCAUUGGUCGGAGACACUGGCUAGUUGGCGUCGGCAGCGGUCGGAUGCUCUUGUACACGCUUCUCAUCGUGUGGUGGGGGGUGGGGGAAGGGGUUGAUGAUGCGGCUGGUGCUGGUGGUGGACACCCUGUUGGGUCCUGAAGGAAUGACCGUUGGUUGUUUCUUGGGCCGUGUGCUCUGCGGUGCCGUGUGGUGCGGUGGGGUGGCGGUUGCCUGG
rnacentral:misc_RNA from 1 species